AAACAAGCGGCAAAUAAGUCGCCCUGUGUGGGGAAUUGAAACAUUACUCCCACUUGAUCAUAGUCAUGCAUUUCAAUUUCAUCACGACCAACCAAAUCAACUUCCAAUUACAAAUCCAAUUAUCAGGUCAUCCUUGCAAAUCGAACUCCAUGAGUUGCAAAUAGAAUGUUGUUAUGUUGUUAGGUUAUUCUUUUUCUCUUGAUUGGCAUUUUAAUUAGUGAGUCACAGUGGGAGUAGAGGAAUUUAACAGUUAAAUAUUGAACACUACAAAAGGAUUGGAAACAGAAUUAACUGCUGUUUAACAGAACAGACUAAAUUGUUCAGUUCAUGGUGCUAGAAUUAAAUGUUGAACACCACUGUAGUUACAGCUGUAUCAGUUCCAUUUGUUAGAAACCAAAUAAAUGGAUUUAAGUUGGGAGUUAGUAGAUGCACAACUGCAUCAGCUGAAGUCCUUUACAUUCAGCAGUAGCUUCAGUUCGAUUUCACGAGUUUUACUACUCUCCUCCUCGCACAUUCAGAAAAAAGGAAAUAUAAUGAUACGAUGAACACCAUGAGAAUUCCACUUGCAUCAGCUCCAUUCUUUAACUCCAGUAAAACUGUGAUCCAAAACAGCACAACUGGUGCAGAAACAGUACUACUGGUGCAUAAGCUUCAUUCAUUCUUUUAAUCACUAGUUGCUCAAAUCCACUAACCUAAUUAUCUAAUUACACAUGUUCCAUACUUCUUAAAUCUAAAAGCCUUUAUUUCUGCCAUAGAAUGCAUAUAGCUUGUCACAGUGUAGUCAUCAAUCAUCAACAUUAUCCUCAUCACUCAAACCUCAUGCAUCCAAGAUUCUAGUUAACACGUGCACUUCAACAAAAAGUACAGAGCAAACAUCCAUUCAUCCACUACACUCACUUCAUUUAUAUAACUAACUCCUACACAUUAAAAUUAACUACAAAGCAUAGAGCUAUGAUUAUAACUUCACACCUCCACUUGCAAGGCACAGCAUACAAAUAAGGAAAAAGUUUAUAUAGAGCCGAGGCUCUAAACAAUCAAAUUAGAGUCCACCUCAAAAAUUUCACUAGGAGACGAUGAUUUGAUGCCCAAAUCUCCUCAAAUUGAUCCAUCUCGAUAUCAAGAUGCAUGGACAUGUGAAAAAAUUGGAUUUCAAGUUUUGGGAAUAGUGUAUCUUGUAACGCAUUUAUGGACCGUCAGUUUUCGAGAUUUUCCAGUUUUCAUAGAUAUGCUUGAUCUACACUAUUUUUGAAGCUUUAAAUUUUAUAAUUAAAUAUGAGGAUAUAUUUUAAGGUUGUCACAAAGAUUUCC
rnacentral:lncRNA from 1 species